CACGUAGGGGGCAAGCGUUGUUCGGAAUUACUGGGCGUAACGGGCAUGUAGGCGGCCUUGUAAGCCUGGCGUGAAAGUCCACGGCUCAACCGUGGGAUUGCGUCGGGAACUGCGAGGCUGGAGUCACGGAGGGGGAGUUAGAAUUCCUGGUGUAGGGGUGAAAUCUGUAGAGAUCAGGAAGAAUACCAGUGGCGAAGGCGAACUCCUGGCCGAUGACUGACGCUGAGGUGCGAAAGUGUGGGGAUCAAACAGGAUUAGAUACCCUGGUAGUCCACACUGUAAACGAUGUGCACUAGGUGCUGGGGCGGAUGCUUCAGUGCCGGAGCUAACGCGGUAAGUGCACCGCCUGGGGAGUAUGCUUGCAAGGGUGAA
rnacentral:rRNA from 1 species